rnacentral:rRNA from 1 species
GAUGAACGCUAGCUACAGGCUUAACACAUGCAAGUCGAACGACCGGCGCACGGGUGAGUAACACGUAUCCAACCUGCCUUUUACUCGGGGAUAGCCUUUCGCAGGAAAGAUUACUACCCGAUUUAAAGGUGGGGGAUGCGUUGCAUUAGGUUGUUGGUGAGGUAACGGCCCACCAAGCGUUCGAUGGAUGGGGGUUCUGAGAGGAUGACCAGCCAGACUGGAACUGAGACACGGACCAAACUCCGACGGGAGGGAGCAGUGAGGAAUAUUGGUCAAUGGGCGUUAGCCUGAACCAGCCAAGUAGCGUGAAGGAGGAAGGCUUAUGGGUGGUAAACUUCUUUUAUAUAAGAGUAUGUAUUAUAUGAAUAAGGAUCGGCUAACUCCGUGCCAGCAGCCGCGGUAAUAC